CCCCCCAUUCGUAGCCUCGUCUUUGAGAUGGGAUAAGAACAUAAAAGUCUGUCACUUCGUGUUUUGUGUUUGGCGCAUUUAUUAUGAUUUAAUGUCUUGUCUGCCGCGUGACACGUGUACAGUCAGGAUGUCUCCCUCAUGUCAGUUUGUCUCGAUUUUCCCACGCACGAUCUCCUAUUUGUUCUGCAUUUUUUCCCUUCUUUUCUUUUCUUUCCAUUUUCAAUUCACCUUUUCUUUUCGUGGUGUUUCAUUUACUUAGAGAGCUCUUCUUCCUUUUCUGAGUAUUUCUUCAUCAACUCGCUUUGUUUAUGGGAAGUCUCUUUGAGCUCCCUUCUUUGUUUUUUUGUUCUUAUGGUAGAUUAUUCCUUAGUUUGGUCGAAUUGCCCUUCUGUUUCUUUCUUCAUUGCUCGUCUGUGUGGUUAGCUUGAGUUUGUAGGUAGGAAACGUUCUAGGGUUAGGUCAUUCGUAGAGCGAGACUGUUCUUAUAGGUCCAUAUUGCUCUUUCUUUUUCCCUGGAUUCAUCAUUCAAUAGGAGUUGCUUAAACUUUGAAAAUGUCGGGUGAGGAGGUUAGGUCGAGUGAGCUUGAAAUGGGUUUGUCUUCAUCUAAGGACCAUGGGGCCCUCGAAGUCACUUCUCCUUCAACCCCUCAUAAGGCCUGGGGUAUAUGUUUUUCCCUUAAAGAGAAGGACAAGAAGAGGAUUAGGGAUAGGAUCCAACUUCCUUCUUCUAUAAAGAUUAGGAUCCCUGACGGUCAUAAUAAAGCUUGUCACUCUUAUGCUGAUGAAGUGUGCUUUUAUGAGGCUAACUUUGUUAAUGGAUUGCGUUUUCCCGUCCAUCCCUUUAUUAGAGAGCUUUUCUUCCUUUUGCAACUCGCUUCGGCCCAGUUAGUGUCAAACUCAUGGAGAAUAGUAAUUUGCUGUAUGGUGAUAUGGAUGUUUGCCAAUGAUGGAGAUACCAUUAGGAUAGAUGAAUUUCUACACUUCUAUCGUCUAAGAAAAUCCAAGGAUUCGGGUUACUAGGAGUUUAAACCCUAGGGUAGGAGUUCGAGAUUGGUUCUUAACUCCCCAUUGUCUCUCCAGAAUUGGAAAACCACUUUUUUCUUCGUCUCUAGUGAUGGUUGGGAGUUCACCACGGGUGAGGACUUAGAUGAUCCUCCUCAGUUUCUUCUUAGCUAAGGAACUCCUGUGUCUGAUGCGCUUUUCUAUUUGUUUUCCUUGAAUGCAUGUAGUUUUCCAACCGGUCGCGGUAUUGACGUGGGUACUUUUGUUUUUGCAACUUCCACUUGUCCUCGUUUGAAGAAGAGGUAUCACAGCCGUGUCGAAAGGGUUAGAGAGUAUCUUGAGACGAUUAAGGACUUUAAUGAGCUCAUCUCUCCUCAAUCUCUUUUUCUGCAUUUCCUUGGACCAGAGCCUUCUAAGCACAUUUGAAGGAACGUUGAGAUCGUUAAGAAGAGGUUGACAACGAGAUUCAGUAAAGCUAAAUUGGUCAAGGUCCAAGAGAAAAGGGCCAAAUGAGGUUUGACAGGUGGCCUUUUGACGAGAAAACGUCAGAGAGACAUGGAGACUCCUAAGGAUGAUCCUAUGUUGACUUCGCCCAUUGCCAAAUCUGUUCCUCAAUGUCCAGCCUCACCUACUUCUUCUCUGGAGCUGAUUGCUUCUAUUGAUGGUGGUUCCAAACCCAAGGGCAAGUACAAAGCCCUUCCGGGUUCUUUCUAGGACGAUGCAGGAGUUGUAGUGCUUAAAGCCCACGAGGCUAUAUUUGUUAAUGAUCUUUCUCCCUUGGGGGUGAGGCCAUCUCACGAGCUGAUGUCAUCCUACGUGUACAAGGUUAUGCAGGUGUUAGGUGAAUCCUUGUACAUUUUGGGGAAGUACUUGGAUUAUGAGGAGAAGUAUGUGAAGGCCAAAUCCAAGGUGGAAUCUCUUUCUGCUGGGAACGAGUCGCUCAAGGGUCAGAUCUCUGCCCUUGCUGACGAGGCCAAAAAGGACAAGGAACUCCUAAGACCCUAGAGAAGAGUAUCAACACUGAGAAAGCUUUUUCAAAGUUGAAGGACAAACAGAUUGACGAGGCUCUCUUGAAAGUCGAGAAGGCUAGCUUGGAGGCAGUGGAGAAAUUCAAAGCUUCAGACGAGUAUUCGGAUAAGCUUUGUGACUAUUAUGUGGAAGGUUUCGACCUUCUUCAUAAUUAUUUGGUCAAACAUCACCCAGAGUUGGACUUCUCUAACCUUGAUAUGGAGGCUGUUAAGACCUGUUGGCUGAUUGUCAGUCCACAAAAGUGGUUAGAGAAGGUGGAGAAGUUGCUGCUGUUGACAAAGCUAUUGAUGUUGAUCCGUCAUCUUUUGUUUUACCUUAGAUUUUUUUUUUUUUUUUUUUUUUGGGUAAGAUAAAAACACUGUUAUUUUCGGGGCUCGCUGUUUUGAGCACAUCUACUUGUUUUUUUCUUUUGAACAAUCUCUUGGGCUUGUCUGUUUCGAGCAUAUAAUCUAUGAAUAUUUUUCUCUUUGAA